rnacentral:rRNA from 1 species
CACGGGGGGAGCAAGCGUUGUUCGGAAUCACUGGGCGUAAAGGGCGUGUAGGCGGUCAAGUAAGUGGAAUGUGAAAGCCCCCGGCUUACCCGGGGAUCUGCAUCCCAAACUGCUUGGCUUGAGUAUGGGAGAGGAUGAGGGAAUUCCUGGUGUAGCGGUGAAAUGCGUAGAUAUCAUGAGGAAUACCAGAGGCGAAGGCGGCUCCCUGGACAAUUGCUGACACUCAGGCACGAAAGCGUGGGGAGCAAAAGGG